GACAGAGGGUGCAAACGUUGUUCGGAAUUACUGGGCGUAAAGCGUGCGCAGGCGGUUUUGUAAGCCAGAUGUGAAAUCCCCGGGCUUAACCUGGGAAUGGCAUUUGGGACUGCAAGGCUCGAGUGCGGCAGAGGAGACUGGAAUUCCUGGUGUAGCAGUGAAAUUCGUAGAUAUCGGGAGGAACACCGGUGGCGAAGGCGGCGACCUGGGACAAUACUGACGCUGAGGUGCGAAAGCGUGGGGAGCAAACAGG
rnacentral:rRNA from 1 species